CACGUAGGGUGCGAGCGUUGUCCGGAAUUAUUGGGCGUAAAGAGCUCGUAGGCGGUGUGUCGCGUCUGCCGUGAAAACCUGCAGCUUAACUGUGGGCUUGCGGUCGAUACGGGCAUCACUGGAGUUCGGCAGGGGAGACUGGAAUUCCUGGUGUAGCGGUGAAAUGCGCAGAUAUCAGGAGGAACACCGGUGGCGAAGGCGGGUCUCUGGGACGGUACUGACGCUGAGACGCGAAAGCGUGGGGAGCGAACAGG
rnacentral:rRNA from 1 species